UUAAAUGAUGUGUCCUUUGCUACACUGCAGGUACCUGGUCACAGCUGACUCCUACAGGAGCAUUGCCAACAGCUUCUGUUGAGUGUCUCAACUGUGGUAAGAGGUACCAGAUGCUGCCUCUGCCAUUUGGGAUUGCCUGGUGGAUGAAUUUAUGGCUGUACCCAACACAGAGGAGUGAAGGUCCAUAACCCACAAGUUCGAGGAGCUGUCAUGAGAAUGAUCUGACCAUCAUGGACCCAGCAGACAAUUUGUAUUUAUCUAAGAAGAUUGAAGGGUGCUACCAGUGAAUGGUCUCAUGAGGUUUCUCCUGACUCAGCUCCCAGGCUGACCCCGGUUCCUGUCCCGUCGACCCCUGUCCCUGCCCCGUCGACCCCUGUCUGGGCUCCAUGUCCAGCUCCCAGGCAAAAGCCGGUGCCGGCGACUCCUGUCCUGGCUCAACGCUCGGCUCCCAGGCCUACGCCAGUUCCUGUUCCUGUUCCUGUGCCCAGAGCAAGGCCCCUGUGCUUCCUGUGCCUGGGCUUAGAGCAGCAGCCCUUGCGCAGCUGGCCCCCAGGCCGACACCAGUCCCUGUGCCGGCUCCCCGCUCGGUUCCCAGGCUGACGCUGGUUCCUUUACCAGCUCCCGGGCCGACACCAGUCCCUGUGCUGCCACCCAGGGAAACUAAUCAGGGCAAUCAAAUAAGAGGGAAACACACAAAAACAGGAAGUAAAACUAAACUGGAAAGACAGGGAUCACAAACUACAAAAUAAAACAGCAAUCACAAAAGACUAGACUAUAAUGCAAGAAAAUGAAUAAGAAAACAACACAAGAUCAUUACGUUUCAUUUUAACUACAAAAAUGUAUCAUACUAAAACAAGGCCAUAGUAGUAUCUGAAUGAAAUCAUUAAUACAGUCUAAAAAUACAUCAAAUACUAACUGCAUCUUAUGUCAUGCUAUGUUUACAUUUUAAUAUGCUGUAAAUACCUGGAGAGCUCUGCUAUUUUAACUUGUAAUGCACUAGUGAGUUAAUUAACAGAUUCUUUUAAGUGCACCUUUGAAAGUGAAGCACCCCAGAGACUGUCCUUUAUACACCAAACAUUGUCCUGAACCAUUACUCCCCCCCUCCUCUGCUCCUCUGAUUCAAAGUCGGAUGGUGAAAUAGAAGAGGAGGAAGGGGAAGGGUUAGAUCAAACACAUCGCUAUCUAAAAUGAGAGGAAGAAAUCCAAUUAAGGAUAGAAGAAGAAGAAGGAAAUGUAUGCAAUCAAAUGAAUCCCCUUACCAAAGGCGACUGUAUAACGGUCUCAAAGCCUCGUUGUUUAUGCAUCACAGGAAAGAAAUAAAAGCCAGUGGAGAGAAAUGAACGCUGCAGCAGGGACAGAGAGAUGGCUCCAUGGAUAAUUGGGUAAUAAAGUAACUGAACAUCAUUUUCACUUUGUAUAAAACCAAAUGUUUUACCCUUUUAAUUAAUUUAUCUUCCAUUUAUUAUCGUCAUAGUAAUUUUCCUGAGAGUUUUUGUUGAUCCAGCUCUGAAAAAAUGUGUAUCAUGUAAACAUUUGCUCUCCUGUGAUUUUUGCAUUCAAAUAAAAAUGUAUGAUUGACCUUCAAAGCUUUACAUUACAACCCCUCUUUAUAUCAGAUAUAUGAACUCCCUAAGCCUGAGGCUCUGCUGAGAUUAUGGUGUUUUUAGGUUAUUCUGAGCCCAGCCUUCCUCUCAGUAAGCUUGCUGGACUUAAAGAUAUCGGGUGUCACAGAGCGGGUUAUGAACUUUCUCUGUUAACUCAGACCUUCUUCUUCAGGCCCUGUCACACAAAGGGGGCAUU